rnacentral:rRNA from 1 species
UACGGAGGGUGCAAGCGUUAAUCGGAAUUACUGGGCGUAAAGCGUGCGCAGGCGGUUUGGUAAGACAGAUGUGAAAUCCCAGAGCUUAACUUUGGAACUGCAUUUUUAACUGCCAAGCUAGAGUAUGUCAGAGGGGGGUAGAAUUCCACGUGUAGCAGUGAAAUGCGUAGAGAUGGGGAGGAACACCGAUGGCGAAGGCAGCCCCCUGGGCCGAUACUGACGCUCAGGCACGAAAGCGUGGGGAGCAAACAGG